rnacentral:rRNA from 1 species
AACAAACGCUGGCGGCGUGCCUAAUACAUGCAAGUCGAACGGACCCUUCGGGGUUAGUGGCGGACGGGUGAGUAACACGUGGGAAUGUGCCUUUAGGUUCGGAACAACACAGGGAAACUUGUGCUAAUACCGAAUGUGCCCUUCGGGGAAGGAUUAUUGCCUUAGAGCAGCCCGCGUCUGAUUAGCUUGUUGGUGAGGUAAAGGCUCACCAAGGCGACGAUCAGUAGCUGGUCUGAGAGGAUGGCCAGCCACAUUGGGACGUGAGACACGGCCCAAACUCCUACGGGAGGCAGCAGUGGGGAAGUCUUGCGCAAUGGGCGGAAAGCCUGACGGCAGCCAUGCCGCGUGGAUGAUGAAGGUCUUA